UCCGAUAUGGUGUAACGGCUAACAUUACCGCCUUUCAUGUGCUGGGGUUCAUUCCUCAACAUGUACGCGGUAGCUCGGGGUUCGAUUCCCCGUAUCGGAG